rnacentral:lncRNA from 1 species
UUACUCUUCUAACUUAUAUUUAUCACUUUAUUUCUUCAUUCUUUCUUCUUUUUUUUUCCCUCAAAGUUUGACAGUGUUAAAUGAUGAUAAUUUAAGCUCCCUUUGAUAUGUAUCAGACAACAAAGUUAGGAGACUGUCAUUUGAUGAUUCUCAUGAUGGUAAUUACGGUAUACAAAAGAGGAUGAUUAUAUAAUAAUUAUGUACCCAUAUUAUGUAUAUGUUCAUGUAUUUUCAUUUUCUUGUUUCUUGUUUUUCAUAUGUUUAUGUUUUUCACAUGUGCUUAAAACAAUGAUAUAUUAUGUGUAAUAAUCUUCUUUUCAAUGCAAUAUUAUAUUGUAAAAAUACUUGUGAUCAUUUUCAUCAAUGAAGCAUCAUCGAAGUUUCUCAUAAAAAAUAAAAUUGAAUUAGAUCAUUAGGGUUAAAGUCUAGAAUCGUGCAACGUAAUAUUUAAUAUAUAAAAUAAUUAAAGUAGAUUUAGUGAUCACAAGUAUAUAGUUUUUUCUUUAUCAUCUCUACACAUUACAUUAAACAGUAUGGUUUAUGCCUUUUUAUUGUUUGGUUAGUCAGUAACGUAAGUUAAUAUUGUUAAUUUUCAUUAACAGAGACGAUCAAGAAUGAGAAAACGAGUACUACAAAUAAUGUUCAUGUUGAAAGUCCUCCACAACCAUGCAAUGGCCAACGUAGCAGACGACCCAAACGGGACACCCCUUGGUGUGGCAACUAUUGAAAGAAACUUAUUUUUAUACAAAGAGUGAAAACUGAAGAAGUACUGCAUUUACAUAUUUCUUUUAGAUAUUUUUAAGUUGAAAGAGAUCUGCUCAAUUUAAAAUAAAUUGAUAAAUUCAGUUUAAAGAUAGGAACCCAUUUGAAUUAAUAUUAAUAUGCUUUAAAUGUGUUUACAAUUAUUUUUGUAUAUGCAGAAAUGAGAAACAGAAUGGUAUUUCUGAUCUUUU